CACUAUUAUUCAGUAUUCACUUCUCGUACAAUUUUAAAGUUUCUGCCGUUUCAACGAUUUUGCUUCUGGUCCUGCAAAACUUAUUUUUAUUAAAGCAGUUUUCAUUUUUGCGGUAAAUUUAAUAAUACGGUUCGGCACCAUGGGCAAAAUGGCUCUGAACUGGGGAUUCCUUGCAAGCUUGAGCGACUUCGCUUGUUCCCUGACUUUUGGGCUGAUGACGUUUAUGCCCGUUCUCGCGUUCCCUUCCCUGAUUUGUCCUCAAAAACCCCGCCACAACCUAGGGAUAGCUGAAAAGUCAUGGAGGAGAAGCAGCGGCAUGGAGAACGGGCCAUGUCAGCGGAAAGCGGAGUCGCAUUCACUACAUUACUACAAAAUGAUUUCGUUUGUUUGACUUGCCACCAGUCGUUAUUGUAUCCUUAACUUCGCGGCGUCUGGCGGACAGCAGGAACGAGCGAGAUCGCGUUAAGCAAGGUGGUUCGUAUUUUGAUUGCUUCGUCAUUUCGUGUAUCUGAGCAGCCCGCGGGGAGUUUGGGCUGGCCUAGGGACAGCUGCCUUCAACGCCUGGAUGGAUUAACACGUGAAAUCCUACGCCAAGAAAGACAAUAUUUCAGGACAUCUCGGGUAAAACGAAAUCGGUUUUGGUAGAACUUAAGAUCGACGCGCUUGUUCUAUAAUUAAUUAUGCUGUCGAUGUUGUUUUUUGUUUUUCUCCAGCGAUGUGAUAAUAGCUGUGUCUUAAUGUUACUGUUGUUGGCAAUAUUUUUCAAGCGUUUAAUUUGUUACAGCGCUCGCUCACAGCGCAGGGCUGUUUUUAUUAAUAAAACUGAUAAACUGUGACUG